UAUCUAUCCUACACAGAAUUAAUGUCCUGCUCAGUUUUAAUGGAUAACAGCGCCAAGCCGAGGUCCAUGAGCCGAGCAAAGCAGUGGACAGAAGAGAUCGAGAACCUGUUCAGAUUUCAGCAAGCUGGAUACAGAGAUGAGCUGGAGUACCGACAAGUCAAACAAGUCCAGAUUGACCGUUGGCCGGACACUGGGUUUGUGAAGAAGCUUCAGCGUCGAGAUAACACAUUUUACUACUACAACAGAAAGCGGGAGUGUGAAGACCGAGAGGUCCAUAAAGUGAAGGUGUAUGUGUACUGACAGCUCCUCGACCCCACCAGCACUUAUGCCAUUUUAAUGCAUGAUAAGAGUUGUCCUACUGUACUCUUAAUGUAACCCAACUGUGAAUAUGUCCUGCCUCUGAAUUGCUUGCCGUGAGGAGCAAACCCAAGCUAAAGAGCAGCGGACAUGCACUGCCGUCCUCCGCUUCACAGGGGGAGC